GACAUAGGUGGCGAACGUUAUCCGGAAUUACUGGGCGUAAAGUGUGCGUAGGUGGUUUAAUUAGUUAUCGGUGGGAAAUUGGGGCUCAACCCCACGGAAGUCGAUAAUACUAUUAAACUAGAGGAUCGGAGGGGUUAACGGAAUUCACAUGUGGAGCGGUAAAAUGCGUAGAGAUGUGGAGGAACACCGAUGGCGAAGGCAGCCCCCUGGGUCAAGAUUGACGCUCAUGCACGAAAGCGUGGGGAGCAAACAGG
rnacentral:rRNA from 1 species